rnacentral:rRNA from 1 species
CAGUCGCCGCGGGAAUACAGAGGGUGCAAGCGUUAAUCGGAAUUACUGGGCGUAAAGCGCGCGUAGGUGGUUCGCCAAGUUGGAUGUGAAAUCCCCGGGCUCAACCUGGGAACUGCAUCCAAAACUGGCGAGCUAGAGUAUGGUAGAGGGUGGUGGAAUUUCCUGUGUAGCGGUGAAAUGCGUAGAUAUAGGAAGGAACAUCAGUGGCGAAGGCGACCACCUGGACUGAUACUGACACUGAGGUGCGAAAGCGUGGGGAGCAAACAGGAUUAGAUACCCCGGUAGUCCCUGUCUCUUAUAU